GCCUCCUUGAAAGCCGUCAAAUGGGUGCCCCGCCUUCCACUCAGAAUUCCUUCGGAGGAACACGGGCGGGCCGGCCGGGGUGCGUGCCUUUCGUCUGGCUCAGGACAGCAGCCGGAGUGGAAGCCACCAGCGCCCAGGAAUCGUGUGACUCCGAGGCUAAGUAGACGGCAUUCCGAUCAGAUGCAACAAACAGAUGCUGGGACCAGAGGCUGCACAGUCAAUAAAAGGAAAGUUAUAAAAUCUAUAGAACUGCCGAGAAAUCAGAAUUUCGGCAAACUCCAGGGUUUUCCCUAGCUGCUCUGAGGGGCUGCGGGCGAGGGGCGGUGGUGCGGAGACUGCCCCUGGCGUGAGCGCGCCCCGCGGCUGCGGCCGGGACAGCGUGAGGACGCGGCCACGCCAGCCGUGACAAUGACGAAGGGGACACGGAGGAUGCUGUCCGUCCUACAGACGGCGCUGCCACAAUCGGUUACCAUCUAGCUUUUUGUCAGGAUGGCGGAGGCGAUGGCUCUUUAGGCUGCAAUGUGCGUCUUCAAAGUGAUUUUGUAAGCUAUUGAAACGACGCUCCCUUGUUACAACUCCACGUCACUUCACUAUGCAAACCAUCCCCUGAUGCAGGGCUAGGCAAACGCCGCAUCAAACUGGUUCUCCCCAUAUUUGGAUGAAAUGCGAUGUUGGCUGCAGCGAUGAGAAGACGCCGAUGCAGCAGGUGUCGGUGCCCAUUCGCCUGGCGCCCUGAGG